AACGAACGCUGGCGGCAGGCCUAAUACAUGCAAGUCGAGCGCUCUAGCAAUAGAGAGCGGCGCACGGGUGCGUAACGCGUGGGAAUGUACCUCUAGGUGCGGAACAACGUCGGGAAACUGACGCUAAUACCGCAUAAUAUCUCCGGAUCAAAGAUUUAUCGCCUAGGGAUCAGCCCGCGUUGGAUUAGCUAGUUGGUGAGGUAAUGGCUCACCAAGGCGACGAUCCAUAGCUGGUCUGAGAGGAUGAUCAGCCACACUGGGACUGAGACACGGCCCAGACUCCUACGGGAGGCAGCAGUGAGGAAUAUUGGACAAUGGGGGCAACCCUGAUCCAGCCAUGCCGCGUGAAUGAAGAAGGCCUUAGGGUUGUAAAAUUCUUUCAGAUGCGAAGAUAAUGACGGUACCAUCAGAAGAAGCUCCGGCUAAAUUCGUG
rnacentral:rRNA from 1 species